UAGGGAAUCUUCGGCAAUGGGGGCAACCCUGACCGAGCAACGCCGCGUGAGUGAAGAAGGUUUUCGGAUCGUAAAGCUCUGUUGUAAGAGAAGAACGAGUGUGAGAGUGGAAAGUUCACGCUGUGACGGUAUCUUACCAGAAAGGGACGGCUAACUACGUGCCAGCAGCCGCGGUAAUACGUAGGUCCCGAGCGUUAUCCGGAUUUAUUGGGCGUAAAGCGAGCGCAGGCGGUUAGAUAAGUCUGAAGUUAAAGGCUGUGGCUUAACCAUAGUACGCUUUGGAAACUGUUUAACUUGAGUGCAGAAGGGGAGAGUGGAAUUCCAUGUGUAGCGGUGAAAUGCGUAGAUAUAUGGAGGAACACCGGUGGCGAAAGCGGCUCUCUGGUCUGUAACUGACGCUGAGGCUCGAAAGCGUGGGGAGCAAACAGGAUUAGAUACCCUGGUAGUCCACGCCGUAAACGAUGAGUGCUAGGUGUUGGGUCCUUUCCGGGACUCAGUGCCGCAGCUAACGCAUUAAGCACUCCGCCUGGGGAGUACNACCGCAAGGNU
rnacentral:rRNA from 1 species